rnacentral:rRNA from 1 species
CCUACGGGAGGCAGCAGUGGGGAAUAUUGCACAAUGGGGGAAACCCUGAUGCAGCGACGCCGCGUGAGUGAAGAAGGAAUUCGUUAUGGAAAGCUCUAUCAGCAUGGGAGAAAAUGACGGUACGUGAGGAAGAAUGUCCGUCUAACUACGUGCCAGCAGCCGCGGUAAUACGUAGGGGGCAAGCGUUAUCCGGAUUUACUGGGUGUAAAGGGAGCGUAGACGGCAGUGCAAGUCUGUAGUGAAAGUCGGGGGCUCAACCCCCGGACUGCAGUGGAAACUGUACGGCUGGAGUGCAGGAGAGGUAAGUGGAAUUCGUGGUGUAGCGGUGAAAUGCGUAGAUAUUAGGAGGAACACCAGUGGCGAAGGCGGCUUACUGGACUGUAACUGACGUUGAGGCUCGAAAGCGUGGGGAGCAAACAGGAUUAGAUACCCUUGUAGUC